rnacentral:lncRNA from 1 species
GCCCAAUGAGAGAAGCAACAUGGCCGGCGCUGUGUUUGUGACGGUCGUAUCCGGCAUUUGUGCGGUACUCAACGUCAUUAAUAUACUGAUAACCCUGGCAAGUCUUGCUGCUGAGAUUUUCCCCGAAGCAGCUAUCUUCAACAUCGCCAGCAUGGCUGUUACCGGACUGAGCAUCUAUGGUGACAUCUUGCUUAUCAUAUCUGCCAGAUCUAAA